rnacentral:lncRNA from 1 species
GACCAACUAUAAUUGAUAAUUGCAUUCGAACUAAGGUUAAGUUUUGAUAGAAAAUGUAGCAAUGAGAACCUGGAAAAAACUCUCUGCUUUCCAUAGUUUACAUGAAGCAAUUAAAAACCUGAUAGAUUUUAUGGGAUUAUAUCAUAAAACAAUAGAUAUCCAAAAGAAGGGCUAGUGAAUAUAAUGGAAAGAAGGCAUCCGCCCAUAACUUUGACCUGCAUAAGAAUUCCAGUGUCAUAAGCACUAAGAAGGCCAACUUCAUUUUCAACUUGAAGUUCACAAAAUAUAGCAAAUCUUAGAUGAACAUAGCAUGUAGUACAUGGUGUUUUGUUAUUGCAAAAAAAGAGUUAAGCAUUGCCAGUGGAAGUCAAAUAUGUUAUACCAAUAACGAUAGAAUAGUUUAAUCCAAAUAAAAGCUCCUGAGUCAUCAUAAACAUUAAGAAGACCAGCAUGACUUCUGACUCUAAAUCCUUAGAUGUGACAAACUUUAGAUAAGUCUAUGCCUCCAGACAAAUAUAGCGCAUCACUUUUUUUUAUUGCCAAAAAUGUUUAGAAUGGUCACAGUUCAAAAAUAAAACCUUCAUUUUGUGCAAAUAUCAUUACUUCUAAAUACAGCUCCUACAACAUAAUAUAAGAUGAGAAAUGUACACCUCUAUUAUUGUUAGAUAACAGAGGAUGACAUAAGCAACUAAAACUCACAAAGAAAGAGAAGGCUAAAACUGUCCCCAUCUACUGGAGAACUAGAAUCACAAUAUGAUCUGAAACUACAUAGGGCAUGUUAAAUUAUAGUAGUUUGACAAUGAUAUAUUAUCAGCAAGACUCAUUCUCACUCUUCUAGCAGGUAAAAAGAAAAGGCAUAAUCUGGAGAAUAAUUAGCUUAAACUAUAUCAAUGAGAUUUGAGUGGUAGAGAAGAAAUCUUAAUUGUGAAAAGUUGUGCAACUCUCAAACUAGUAAAUGCUUAAUUAUAAAAUUAGACCCAUUGAAAACAUUGGCAAGAUAUUUGCAUCUCAUAUACAUUAAAAUCAAUCUAUGCUGAUGAGAUGAAUCGGUCACUAAAAAUUCAACAUCUGGCUCGACCAUUUGGAGGUUUCAGAUUGGAGUCAGCGUCGGAGUGCCAUCCAAAA